GCCACUGUAGCUCAGUCGGUAGAGCAGCUGAUUCGUAAUCAGCAGGUCGGGGGAUCGAUGCCCUCCAGUGGCU
rnacentral:tRNA from 1 species